GCAGCCAUGGUGUAAUGGUAGCACACUGCUUUGCCAGCGCGAGGAAUUGAGUUCAAUUCUCAAUGACCGCA